AGCAGCCGCGGUAAUUCCAGCUCCAAUAGCGUAUAUUAAAGUUGUUGCAGUUAAAAAGCUCGUAGUUGAAUUUCGGGAUCAAUUUGCUGGUCGUGCCUCUGGUACGUACUGGUAUUAUUGGUUUCUCCUUCUGACGAACCAUGAUGUCAUUAAUUUGAUGUCGUGGAGAAUCAGGACUGUUACUUUGAAAAAUUGAGUGUUUAAAGCAGGCAUUAGCUUGAAUACAUUAGCAUGGAAUAAUGAAAUAGGACGUUUGAUCCUAUUUUGUUGGUUUCUAGGAUUGACGUAAUGAUUAAUAGGGAUAGUUGGGGGCAUUAGUAUUCAAUUGUCAGAGGUGAAAUUCUUGGAUUUAUUGAAGACUAACUACUGCGAAAG
rnacentral:misc_RNA from 1 species